UUGAUGACAUAUUUGCGAGAAUAUAAGAAUUAUGACCCAGACUCAAGUAUAGAUUUUUAAACAAAUAAUGUCAUUGCAUGUUAAUUGUCCUAAGUUUGAUUAUCUCAUUUCUCCCCUAGGUUGUGGUCCAAAUCUCAAUGGAGAUAAUAUAAAUUUGUACUGUUAAUUGUUUCAACAAACUUGGUUGGUUCAUUAAUCCGUAUGAAGUAAUUCAUCUCAUGGAGUUCGAGACAAGGGAGGGCAAAGGGAAGAAAUCAUAGACAUGCAUGCUACUAGCAAGAGGAUAUGAAGACAUUAUUGAAAGUAACAAAGUAUUGAACUUCUUAUCACAAAAAAUGGGAAGAAAAGUUUAUCAAGUAAGGUAGGCAAAGCAAAGAAAAGGAGAAGGUUUGUAAAAUGAUUCAAAAGGUGAAAUAUUCAAAUCAUUUAUAUCUAGGAGGAUCUGAUCCCUGUGAUCAUGAGCGUCGUGAUAGAAUGUAAAGAUUAGAUUACUUAAGGUGAGAUUUAAAAAUUUAUACAUUUGCUUAGACGAUGUAAAUAUUUAUUUAUCCCAAUGUUAAUUUUAUGAUACUUUUGGAUUA